rnacentral:lncRNA from 1 species
GGUGAAGGGAUUAAAUCUGGCUUCUGAUGGAUUAAAUCUGGCUUUUGAGAGCCCAUAAAAAGCGAGGUGAUGGGGCGAGCCCAGGCCCAUGGCAGACGUGACCAACCGCGGACGGGAGGUUUCCCCUGGGAGGAGAAGCCCUCCUCCGUGAGCACGCAGGGGCAGACCUCCGCUGAUGCCAAUGCCGAUGCCGCAACGCUGUCCUCGCUCCUGGACUCAGCCCAGCCCGGAGGGAGGGACCUAGGAGCAGCCAAAGGCGCCCGGCGACCCAGAAUGUGUUUCCUGGGGUUCUGAGGACAAAGUAGGGGUCAGUCUGAACGAGGCACUGACCUCAAGGGAAUUGGUGUUUCCUUGAGAACCAGAAGUAUUGGAACUUGGAUCUUGGGUUAAUUAUCCAAAUCUUUGGAAAAAGUAUUGUUUUGAUUCUUCAUCUGAAAAUCCUGAAAUUCUGCCUUCUCUUGAGGAUGUGAGUCAAAGGAGCAAGACGAAGUGAGUAAAACUGUGCAGAUUUCUCAGCGAGACUGAGAAGUGCCAUCUUGAACCAGCUCCACAGGAGCCCGGAUUUUGCUGCUGCCGGGCCCUGCCCCCAGCGCCUUGCACUGGAGAUGAUGUGAACUAGCGAUGCUCAGAUUUGUAACCUGGAGACUCCAGACGUUUUUUAAUCCCGUGCCCUCAGGCUGAACACCCCCCUUUGACUGUCUCCUGACUUCCUUCGUGUAUAAGAGAAGCUCACCCUGCGCUGCUUUUAGGAACCUCUGGUGGAAACGCCACAGCGGACCCGUUCUGUGGCUCCUUCUGCGAGGCUCGUUAUCUCAGGUCAUUGGUUUCUAGCCCUAAUUUGAUGACUUGUUAGUGCCAAACUUGCUAAAAUGUGGUUUUACUUCCAGAAUUUAAAUACCGUUAAGGCGCUUAGUCCUCUUAACCAGCUCUCUACCAUCCUUCCUGUCCCGUCUCCCCUGAUGUCUAGGAUGACAAAGGAUAAUUCGAUGAGAAGGGAUGUUUGGUGGGCACGCGGCUGGGGAGGAGGACUGAGAAAUAAACAGAACAUGGACAAGCGGUAGGAUUAACAGAAACAUCAGUCUCUACACCACUCCACCGUUUUACCCCCGGGUAUCAGUCUGAGACCUUAGCCCAUUUACGGCGAAGAAAAGGAUGCAGAGGAUCCGGGCGGUUUGCUCGAGGGCAGAGGGGCCUAAAGGUGGUUGGUGCAUCCGUGAGGCCCUGCUCUCAGCCCAGGGAAGGGGGACGGUGAGGGGGCCAGGGGUCCUGGAGCCCCAGGUAGAGGGGGGCUGGCAGGGAGCAAGGCGGCAGGACGAGUUCUGGGACUCCUGGGCUGCGUGUAGUGUCCCCAGGAUGCACCAGUCACUUUACUAGGUCCAUCUGGAGGGUCUAAUGGACUUAAGGUUCUGUCUGCAGGUUCUAGACAUUAGGAUCAGCUUUAUGAUUUUAUACUUUUAAAGGAAUCAGAUCAAAUUUCUUUCCGUGCUACAGGGUCUGUGUAGGAGCAGUUUGUUCCCAGAGAGCCUGAGAUACCCUUCAUCUGGCGUCUUUAUCUUAGAGGUGAGUAUGUCGAGGAAGAAAAAAGAGGAAAAUACGACUGGUUGACCUUAGUAUGGAGUUUAGAGCCUGCGCUGGAAGGAUGGUUUUGUUAUUGUUGAUUCUUUUUUUUUUUUUGAUUGUCCACAUAGAUGAUGGUGCCAGUUGUGAACAAGGCGGCUUUAUUUCUCUCCAGCUCUGGAUCAGGAUGGACCCUGCUGGAUGGGGUGUUUCCCUCCCUGGGUCAGUUGGUCUCUGAUCACCUCUGGCUGGUUGGACUCUGAUUAACUAGCUUUCCCCGGGACCAGCCUUGCUCAGAACAGUGUCUGAUCUCUGCAGCCUGCUUCCCUGCCCCCCAGGCCCGUCCGAAGCCGGGGGUCUUUUCUCUGACUUUGACUGUGGGACCUGGUUGGGCUCCUGGAGGGAAACCCCGCAGCAUGAGGUCUCUCUUCGUCCACACGCAGCCCCAAGGUUCCCUGACUGUCCCCCGGGCCCUGCUCUGGCUGCCCAGCUGUUUCUGCCGCCUGGUGGGGCUGGGGGGUGGGGACCACUGUGCUCCUUGGGCUCCAGCCCCCGUAUCCCCCUGAGAAGGGGUCUGGGCUGACUCGUUAUUCUUCAGUCUGUGCUGGGUUGUCACUUGUCCUGAGGAUGGCAUGGAGAUUGCCAAGGUUUUCACGCGGGGACGGGAAGCUGGGGGCGCAGGAGGGGUUUCCAUGUGAAUUUCCCGGACCUCAGGCAGCCCACGCCCCUCCCGGAAUUCCGAGGUAUGUGUGGAAGGACUGGUACUUUCCCCACAGAAGCGUGACAGCAAGUUCAGUUGACAACGCUGUGUACACAUUCCUGCCCUCGUUUACGUGAUGUGGUUCCCAAGUUCAGGGCCGUCUGAAUUCUGGAAGAACUAUGAGCAAGACACAGAAAACUGUGUCACAAAGGUGCCCGUCUGCUGGCCAGGCAGGCAGUGGCACAAGCUCAAGCUGCCCUAAGGGAGCAGGAGGGAGGGUGGGCUCAGAGGGAGACUGUUCAUGAGGCUCAGAGACUCGUGUCGAGACUGACGAUGGAGGGAGUUCCCUAGUAGCUCAGUGGGUUAAGGGUCUGGCAUUGUCACUGCAGUGGCUCAGGUUGCUGCUGUGCUUCGUUUUGAUCCCUGGCCCCAGAACUUACAGAUGCCGCAGUUGUGGCCAAAAAGAAAAGAGACAGACGGUGGUGGCUGGGACCAGAGCGGAAGAGUGAAGAUUGUAGAAGUGGAUGACGGUCCUGAAUGCUGGCAAGGAGGCUGGGGUUUCCGGCUGUCACGUGGACCAAGGACCCUUGACACUGUCCCCAAAGGCUGAGAACUCUUAGCCCAGGGGCUUCUCUGCAAAGCGAUGCACAACCGCCUCCCGGGAAGCAACUCGGGACAAAACCAAACUCAAGUCUCUACCAGGCCAGAGGCCUCGGGAGCCAGAGCCAGGUGUGCGGCAGAGAACUGAGGCAGCUGAGGACAGACCCUCUGACCCAGCUUUCAAGUGCCAUCAUCCUGGGUCACCUGGAGAAAGGCAGCUGCUUCCUCUGUGGUUCCUCCCACCCUGGACUAACCCUUGCAAGGCUUUACAUGUUAUCUGGGAAUCUCCUUUCAUUAGUUACAGUAACAUGUUUUUAUUUUUAUUGAUUUUUUUUUUUUUUUUUUUUUUUUUUUUUUUUUUUUUUUUUUGGCUACAUCCUCAGCACUUGGAAGUUCCUGGGCCAGGGAUUAAACCCGAGCCACCACAGUGACAACUGAAAAUCCUACGUGCUGAGCCAUGCACGAGGGAAGUCCCUUUAUUGAAAUUUUUAUAGAUAAUUAUGACUUCAAAUCUGGCUGCGGGAAACAGUACAGAGAGGUCCUUUCCACAUUUUGUCCAUUUCUCGCCCAGGUUAACAUUUUGGAAAAUGACGGUCUCCCAACCAGGAGUGACAAUGAUGCAAUAACCAGUGUUGCUCUGAUCUCCCAGCUCCACCUGUGUUCCCUGCGUGUGUGCUGAGAUCUAUGCAAUUUAGUCACUUCUCCCUCACUGCACCCCCACCCAGGACCCCUUCUGUGGCUCGUGGACCCCCAGGUCCUUCCUGCACCUCUGGGCUCAACCCUGGAAGCAGUGUGUGUCCUCCAUUUCCAAAAUUUGGAAGUGUUAUAAAUAUACAAAUGGCUUUGCCCUUGGGUUUGGAAUAUAUAAAUGGCUUUGCCCUUGGGUUGUAUGAUAGUUGAAUGUCUGGCCAUAUAAGAUACUGAUAACUGCCCUCCGAGUGGCCGCAGGCUCACUGUCCACUAGCAGAGUUGAGGGGAGCAGCCUGAUCAGGGUUCCUUGUCUUGGCCCUUGCGGCAGGCGACGGCUCCUGAGGUUUAGUGUGCGUUUCCCUGGGGCUGGUGUGGUGCUCACUCACCAUCUUCGACGUCUUCAGAGAAAAGUCAGUCAUGCCUUUCACCCAAUUUGAUGAGAUUGUUUGCUUUAAUGAUUGAGUGUGGAGAGGUUUAUUUAUAUUCUGGAUACAACCCUUGUGGGUUAUGUGUAAACAUUUCAUCCCAGUCUUCAUCUUAUCAUUUUAGUCUCCUCAUGUGGGCUUUCACGAAAGCCUUUAAUUUUGAUAUGGUCCAAUUUAUCCAUCUUUCUCCUUUACAGAUGAUGAUUUUGGGUCAACCUAAUCCUUUCUCAAAUUGCCUAGAUCCCAAAGAACUUAUUUGGGUUUUCCUAAGAGUUUUAAAUUGUACACUGACUAUUCAAUCCCAUGAUCCACUUGGAGCUGAUCUUUGUAUGAGGCAUGAGCUUUAGGUGAAGGUUUGUAACUUUUGCACAUGGUGCCAUUGAGUUCUUUUUCCAUCUUUGUUGUGUGUGUUCACUUUUUGGUCCAGUUUGUUCAGUUCCAUUGGUCUGUGUGUCUGUCCCUCCACGAACACCAUGCUGUCUGGGUUACUGCAUAGUGAGACCUAAUAUUGGUAAAGCGAUUUCUCUCACUUUGUCCUUUAGUGUCAAGCUUGCUUCACCCAUUCUAUAGCCUGUGCCUUUCCACACAAAUUUUAGGAGAAGCUUGUCCAUCUCUACAAAAAUCCUUGCUGGAAUCUUAUUAGGAUUACUUGGAAAUACAUUCAACCUAAACAUAUGUGUGUAUUUACGUUUAUGUAAUAUUUAUGUAAUACAUUAACAUAUGGAUAAUGUAAAGGUAUAAAUUAAGUUUGUAUACUUUUUUAUUUGAUAUGUAACUGUAGGGCUAAUUGACGUCUUCACUUUGUGCUCUUUCUGUCCAUGAAUAUGGUAUAUCUCACCAUUUGUUUUGAUGUUCUUCAACUUCUUUCAUCAGUAUUUUGCAAAUGUCAGCAUAUAGAUCCUGCGCAUGUUCUGUUUAGUGUGCACCAGAUAUUUUGUUUUCUUUGAGGCAAUUAUAAACAGCAUUGUGUUUUUAACUUGGGUUUCUAUAUGUUCAUUGGUAUUGCAUGUGAAAAGAAAGGUAAUUGACUUUUCUGUGUUGGUCUUGUAUUCUGUGACCUUCUUGAACUCACUUCUUAGUUCUAGGUUGUUUUCUAUUUGUGUUUGUUGUUGCUGUUAAUUUGGGGGAUUCUUUGUGUAGAUAAUCGUAUCAUCUCCAGUUUUGUGGUGUUUUUUUUUCCCCAAUCUGUAUAAUUUUUAUUUCUUUUACUUAGCUUAUGUCCCUUAAUAUUGCUCUUUGCCUCUAUAAUUUUCUUUGCUUUAAAGUCUAUUUUAUCUGACAGUAAUAUAGCAACCUCUGCUUUUUUAAAAAAAAAUAAAUGUUUAUGUGGCA